rnacentral:lncRNA from 1 species
GUGGCGUCAUGCUUUAAGUCUCCAGGCCUGAGAUAUUUUUAAAGCCAGCGUUACUGAGGUAUAGAAUUUGCACAAUAACAUGCAUCCCUUUUCUGUGUGCAGUGGCACGAGCGCUGGCCAACGUUUACACCCAGGCGUCCGCUGCCACCAUGUUCAGAUAUAGAACACUGACAUCACUCCACACUUCCUUGUGUUCACGGAUCUCCUUUCUGCCACUGAAGAUGUGAUUUGCCAUUUCUAGAGCUUCUGCUGUCUUUUCCAUGGAGUGUCUUCAUGUUCAGGUGGCUAUGGAGAGGCUGCUGCAGUUACCUCUCACAUCUACACAUGGUGACGACAAAGAUCAAGAGAGGGAGCUAGGAGGAAGGGCUAUGUCCUUGCUUUCUCUGUCUGUUCUCCAAACAGCAACCAAAGCAAUCCUGAGAAAGUUGAAAGCUUCUACUACUGGGGCCAUGUGUCUCCUGCCUUGUGUCCCCGUGUGCCCCCUGGACCUUGCUGUAGAGAAGACUCAAGUGAGAUUUCCUGUCUUCACAGACUCAGUAAACAUCUCACUCCUAGGCAGGACACUGGCUGAGCUGAUGAAACCUGUGGGUCCUCUGGGGCUGCCAGUGGAAGAAUUCAUGGACAGCCUGGCAAGUCUCCCCAGGAGUCUGGAAAUGUACAGAAGCAGAGAGACUGGAACCAGCUCCUGGCCAGACAUGCUGAAGGGCCCCAGUGGGCGUUCAACCUGCAGCUCCCCCCGUCACUCACUGAGGGUGGGACCCGCACCUGAUAGUGUCAUGCACACGGCAGGAAAGUCCAUGAGCUCCCAAUAUGUGCCAGAACAUGAGUGCCAGGGGUGGGCACUGACAGCCUCUGCUUCAGGGGGUGGAGGGAGGCUGAAACAGGAUGUGAGAUGA